AUACCUUUGGUGUUGCCGGCCUUCUUAUCCGCUAAGUAUUUGGGGCAGUUCCGCUUCCAGUGACCCUUCCCCUUGCAAUAAAAGCACUCAGUUUCAGGCUUGGGUCCAUUCUUUGACUUCUUCACGGCAACUGGCUUACCGGGCGCGACAACAUCUUUGCCGUCCUUCUUGAAGUUCUUCUUACCCUUGCCCUUCUUGAACUUAGUUGUCUUAUUGACCAUCAACACUUGAUGUUCUUUCUUGAUUUCAACCUCUGCUGAUUUCAGCAUCGAGAAUACUUCAGGAAUGGUCUUCACCAUCCCCUGCAUAUUGUAGUUCAUCACAAAGCUCUUGUAGCUUGGUGGGAGCGACUGAAGGAUUCUGUCAAUGACCGCCUCAUCCGGGAGGUUAAUGUCCAGCUGGGACAGGCGGUUGUGCAACCCAUACAUUUUGAGUAUGUGCUCACUAACAGAACUAUUUUCCUCCAUCUUACAACUAUAGAACUUGUCGGAGACUUCAUAUCUCUCGACACGGGCAUGAGCUUGGAAAACUAGUUUCAGCUCCUCGAACAUCUCAUAUGCUCUGUGUUGCUCAAAAUGCUUUUGGAGCCCCGGUUCUAAGCUGUAAAGCAUGCCGCACUGAACGAGGGAGUAAUCAUCAGCAUGAGACUGCCAAGCAUUCAUAAUGUCUUGGUUCUCUGGGACGGGAGCGUCACCUAGCGGUCCUUCUAGGACAUAUUGUUUCCUGGCAGCUAUGAGGAUGAUCCUCAGGUUCCGGACCCAGUCCGUAUAGUUGCUGCCAUCAUCUUUCAGCUUGGUUUUCUCUAGGAACGCGUUGAAGUUCAUGUUGACAUGAGCGUUGGCCAUUUGAUCUACAAGACAUAUUAUGCAAAAAGUUUUAGACUAAGUUCAUGAUAAUUAAGUUCAUCUAAUCAAAUUAUUUUAAUGAACUCCCACUCAGAUUAGACAUCCCUCUAGUCAUCUAAGUGUUACACGAUCCGAGUCAACUAGGCCGUGUCCGAUCAUCACGUGAGACGGACUAGUCAUCGUCGGUGAACAUUCUCAUGUUGAUCGUAUCUUCCAUACGACUCGUGUUCGACCUUUCGGUCUCCAUGUUCCGAGGCCAUGUCUGUACAUGCUAGGCUCGUCAAGUUAACCCUAAGUGUUUUGCAUGUGUAAAACUGUCUUACACCCGUUGUAUGUGAACGUAAGGAUCUAUCACACCCGAUCAUCACGUGGUGCUUCGAAACGACGAACUUUAGCAACGGUGCCCAGUUAGGGGAGAACACUUUUUGAAAUUUUUGUAAGGGAUCAACUUAUUUACUACUGUCGUUCUCAGUAAACAAGAUGCAUAAACAUAAUAAACAUCACAUGCAAUUAUAUAAUAGUGACAUGAUAUGGCCAAUAUCAUAUAGCUCCUUCGAUCUCCAUCUUCGGGGCUCCAUGAUCAUCUUCGUCACCGGCAUGACACCAUGAUCUCCAUCAUCAUGAUCUCCAUCAUCGUUUCUUCAUGAAGUUGUCACGCCAACGACUACUUCUACUUCUAUGGCUAACGCGUUUAGCAAUAAAGUAAAGUAAUUUACAUGGCGUUCUUCAAUGACACGCAGGUCAUACAAAAUAAAGACAACUCCUAUGGCUCCUACCGGUUGUCACACUCAUCGACAUACAAGUCGUGAUUCCUAUUACAAGAACAUGAUCUCAUACAUCACAAUAUAUCAUUCAUCAUUCAUCACAACUUCUGGCCAUAUCACAUCACAUGACAAUUGCUGCAAAAACAAGUUAGACGUCCUCUAAUUGUUGUUGCAUCUUUUACGUGGCUGCAAUUGGGUUCUAGCAAGAACGUUUUCUUACCUACGAAUAACCACAAUGUGAUUUUGUCAACUUCUAUUUACCCUUCAUAAGGACCCUUUUCAUCGAAUCCGCUCCAACUAAAGUGGGAGAGACAGACACCCGCCAGCCACCUUAUGCAACUAGUGCAUGUCAGUCGGUGGAACCGGUCUCACGUAAGCGUACGUGUAAGGUUGGUCCGGGCCGCUUCAUCCCACAAUACCGCUGAAGCAAGAUUAGACUAGUAGCGGCAAGAAAGUUGACAAGAUCUACGCCCACAACAAAAUUGUGUUCUACUCGUGCAAUAGAGAACUACGCAUAGACCUAGCUCAUGAUGCCACUGUUGGGGAACGUUGCAGAAAAUUAAAAAUUUUCCUACGGUUUCACCAAGAUCCAUCUAUGAGUUCAUCUAAGCAACGAGUCAAGGGAGUGAGUUUGCAUCUACAUACCACUUGUAGAUCGAGUGCGGAAGCGUUCAAGGGGAUGGUGAUGAUGGAGUCGUACUCGCCGUGAUUCAGAUCACCGAUGACCAAGUGCUGAACGGACAGCACCUCCGCGUUCAACACACGUACGGUAUGAACGACGUCCCCUCCGUCUUGAUCCAGCAAGGAGGAAGGAGAGGUUAAGGAAGACAGCUCCAACGGCAGCACGACGGCGUGGUGUUGUUGGUGCAGCAGUACUCCGACAGGGCUUCGCCAAGCACGUACGGAGGAGGAGAGGUGUUGGGGAGGGGAGGGGCUGCGCCUUGGCUUGGGUUUUCAGCCCUCCCCUCACCCCUCUAUUUAUAGGGGAAGGGGCAAGGGGGGCCGGCCCCUCUAGAUGGGAUCUAGAGGGGGGCGGCAGCCAGGGAGGGGAACUUGCCCCCCAAGCAAGGGGGGCGCCCCCUCUAGGGUUCCCCCCCCCCACCCUAGGCGCAUGGGACCAAGGGGGGGCGCCCAGCCCUCUAGGGGCUGGCUCCUGCCCCACGCAGCCCAUGUGGCCCCCCGGGAGGGGUGGCCCCUCCCGGUGGACCCCCGGAACCCUUUCGGUGGCCCCGGUACAAUACCGAUAUGCCCCCGAAACCUUCUGAUGUUCAUAUGACAGCUUCCCAUAUAUAAAUCUUUACUUCCGGACCAUUCCGAAACUCCUCGUGACGUCCGGGAUCUCAUCCGGGACUCCGGACAACAUUCGGUAAUCACAUACAAGUCUUCCUAAUAACCCUAGCGUCACCGAACCUUAAGUGUGUAGACCCUACGGGUUCGGGAGACACGCAGACAUGACCGAGACGGCUCUCAGGUCAAUAACCAACAACGGGAUCUGGAUACGCAUGUUGGCUCCCACAUGCUCCUCGAUGAUGUCAUCAGAUGAACCACGAUGUCGAGGAUUCAAGCAACCCCGUAUACUAUUCCCUUUGUCAAUCGGUACGUUACAAGCCCGAGACUCGAUCGUUGGUAUCCCAAUACCUCGUUCAGUCUCGUUACCGGCAAGUCACUUUACUCGUACCGUAAUGCAUGAUCCCGUGACCAAACACUUGGUCACUUUGAGCUCAUUAUGAUGAUGCAUUACCGAGUGGGCCCAGAGAUACCUCUCCGUCAUACGGAGUGACAAAUCCCAGUCUCGAUCCGUGUCAACCCAACAGACACUUUCGGAGAUACCUGUAGUGCACCUUUAUAGUCACCCAGUUACGUUGUGACGUUUGGUACACCCAAAGCACUCCUACGGUAUCCGGGAGUUACACGAUCUCAUGGUCUAAGGAAGAGAUACUUGACAUUGAAAAAGCUCUAGCAAAACGAACUACACGAUCUUGUGCUAUGCUUAGGAUUGGGUCUUGUCCAUCACAUCAUUCUCCUAAUGAUGUGAUCCCAUUGUCAAUGACAUCUAAUUUCCAUAGUCAGGAAACCAUGACUAUCUGUUGACCAACGAGCUAGUCAACUAGAGGCUCACUAGGGACAUGUUAUGGUCUAUCUAUUCACACGUGUAUUACGAUUUCCGGAUAAUACAAUUAUAGCAUGAAUAAAAGACAAUUAUCAUGAACAAGGAAAUAUAAUAAUAAUGCUUUUAUUAUUGCCUCUAGGGCAUAUUUCCAACAACUAUAUGAUUCAUGUUCGACCUUUCGGUCUCUGUGUUCCGAGGCCAUAUCUGUAUAUGCUAGGCUCGUCAAGUAUGACCUGAGUAUUCCGCGUGUGCAACUGUUUUGCACCCGUUGUAUUUGAACGUAGAGCCUAUCACACCCGAUCAUCACGUGGUGUCUCAGCACGAAGAACUUUCGCAACGGUGCAUACUCAGGGAGAACACUUCUUGAUUAUUAGUGAGAGAUCAUCUUAAAAUGCUACCGUCAAUCAAAGCAAGAUAAGAUGCAUAAAGGAUAAACAUCACAUGCAAUCAAUAUAAGUGAUAUGAUAUGGCCAUCAUCAUCUUGUGCUUGUGAUCUCCAUCUUCGAAGCACCGUCGUGAUCACCAUUGUCACCGGCGCGACACCUUGAUCUCCAUCGUAGCAUCAUUGUCGUUACGCCAUCUAUUGCUUCUACGACUAUCGCUACCGCUUAGAGAUAAAGUAAAGCAAUUACAGGGCGUUUGCAUUUCAUACAAUAAAGUGACAACCAUAUGGCUCCAGCCAGUUGCCGAUAACUUUGGUUACAAAACAUGAUCAUCUCAUACAAUAAAAUAUAGCAUCACGUCUUGACCAUAUCACAUCACAACAUGCCCUGCAAAAACAAGUUAGACGUCCUCUACUUUGUUGUUGCAAAUUUUAUGUGGCUGCUACGGGCUUACCAAGAACCGUUCUUACCUAUGCAUCAAAACCACAACGAUAGUUCGUCAAGUUAAUGCUGUUUUAACCUUCGCAAGGACCGGGCGUAGCCACACUCGAUUCAGCUAAAGUGAGAGAGACAGACACCCGCCAGUCACCUUUAAGCACGAGUGCUCGUAACGGUGAAACCAGUCUCGCGUAAGCGUACACGUAAUGUCGGUCCGGGCCGCUUCAUCUCACAAUACCGCUGAGCCAAAGUAUGACAUGCUGGUAAGCAGUAUGACUUGUAUCGCCCACAACUCACUUGUGUUCUACUCGUGCAUAUGACAUCUACGCAUAAAACCUAGCUCUGAUACCACUGUUGGGGAACGUAGUAAUUUCAAAAAUUUCCUACACACACACAAGAUCAUGGUGAUGCAUACCAACGAGAGGAGGAGUGUAUCUUCAUACCCUUGAAGAUCGCUAAGCGGAAGCGUUUAUCAACGCGGUUGAUGUAGUCGUACGUCUUCACGAUCCGACCGAUCCAAGUACCGAACACACGGCACCUCCGAGUUCUGCACACAUUCAGCUCGAUGACGUCCUCGCCUUCUCGAUCCAGCAAGAUGGGCGAAGUAGUAGAUGAGUUCCGGCAGCACGACGGCGUGGUGAUGGUGUUGGUGAAGAACAAUCUCCGCAGGGCUUCGCCUAAGCACUACGGAAACUAUGACGGAGGAUAAACUAGAGGGGACGGGGUUGCCGGUACACGGCUUGGUGUUUCUUGAUGUGUCUUUGGUGCUAGCCCGGCCCCUCUAUUUAUAUGUUGAGCCUUGGGGUCGAAACUUGGAGUAAAAGCCUCCACAAAGUCGGUUUCACCCGAAAGGCAAGAGUCCUUCUCGGACUCCAGGGCCAGACACCAGGGUUCCCGGCGUCUGGACCCAGACGCCAGGGACCCUGGCGUCUGGCCCCUGGAGUCCACAAAACUUCCUUUUGCGCUUUCCAAAAACCUUGUGGGCUUUCCCUUUGGCCCAAAUAACGUGUUCUCAUUCCCAAACAUUUCGGGAAACAUCCGGAACCCCUUCCGGUGAAUUCCGGAACUCUUCCGGAGAUCAAACACUAUUAUCCCAUAUAUCAAACUUUAUCUUCGGACCAUUCUGGAGUUCCUCGUUAUGUCCAUGAUCUUAUCCGUGACUCUGAACAACAUUCGGUUACCAACAUACAUAACUCAUAUAAUACUAUAUCGUCAACGAAACGUUAAGCGUGCGGACCCUACGGGUUCGAGAACUAUGUAGACAUGACCUAGAACUUGUUUCCGGUCAAUAACCAAUAGCGGGACCUGGAUGCCCAUAUUGGCUCCCACAUAUUCUACGAAGAUCUUUAUCGGUCAAACCGCAUAACAACAUAUGUUGUUCCCUUUGUCAUCGGUAUGUUACUUGCCCGAGAUUUGAUCAUCGGUAUCCAAUACCUAGUUCAACCUUGUUACCGGCAAGUCUCUUUACUCGUUACGUAAUACAUCAUUCUGUAACUAACUCAUUAGCUACAUUGCUUGCAAGGCUUAUAGUGAUGUGCAUUACCGAGAGGGCCCAGAGAUACCUCUCCGACAAUCGAAGUGACAAAACCUAAUCUUGAAAUACGCCAACUCAACAUGUACCUUUGGAGACACCUGUAGUACUCCUUUAUAAUCACCCAGUUACGUUGUGACGUUUGGUAGUACCCAAAGUGUUCCUCCGGUAAACGGGAGUUGCAUAAUUCUCAUAGUUACAGGAACAUGUAUAAGUCAUGAAGAAAGCAAUAGCAAUAUACUAAACGAUCAAGUGCUAGGCUAACGGAAUGGGUCAUGUCAAUCACAUCAUUCUCCUAAUGAUGUGAUCCCAUUAAUCAAAUGACAACACAUGUCUAUGAUUAGGAAACAUAACCAUCUUUGAUUAAUGAGCUAGUCAAGUAGGGGCAUACUAGUGACUAUAUGUUUGUCUAUGUAUUCACACAUGUAUCAUGUUUCCGGUUAAUACAAUUCUAGCAUGAAUAAUAAACAUUUAUCAUGAUAUGAGGAAAUAAAUAAUAACUUUAUUAUUGCCUCUAGGGCAUAUUUCCUUCAGUUGCGAGGGUCUAGUGUUCAACGAGCUCCGCCCCUGCGUUCGUUGGUGAGCACAAAUGACAUCUCCUCCUCCCCCCUUCAUUUGCUCUAUUCUGGUCUUCGUGCCGAUGAAACUUGCUAGCUAUAGGUGUCAAUCAUCAGUAUGCGUAACCACUAUGUGUCUCCCGUUCGAAAGGGUUACAUCUAUAAAUAUGCAUGCAUUUGCAUAUUUUUUAUCGUGAUUCUUUCGAAUUGUCCAACUUAUCCAUGGAUAGCCCGAGUAUGUGUAGAUUGGGUUCGUUUUCCCAUAUGCUCAGCUCCGGAUGUGAUGCAGAAUUUCGUCAGUGCCUCCCUGUUAUUCUCCGGAUACACAUCCUCUCUACUUAUUGCCGAGACGUGUAUUAGGAGAACAGCGGGGAGGUGCUGCCGAAAUUCUGUGUCAGAUCCGGAGCAGAGCAUGGGAAAACGAACCCGAUCUACACAUACUCGGGUGGGAUUAGGACAUAUACUUACCUAUUAGCGUGUAAGUUGCAUGGACGUAAUAAAAAUAACAAACUCCAUUAACUGAUGGAUAUGGUUUGCUUAAUUAUGUAUAUAUUUCUUGUGUGUCCGGUAGGAAGUCAAUAUGAGUGAUCAUGCAUGGAUGUACACCGGUUACACUAGUCAGUAUGUUUGGACCAAGGAAUGGUUAACAAAAACUAAGGGGUUUCUUAGAUCUGCAUUUGCAAAUCUUAGAAAUUUAGCCGGUGCCCCUGUGUCCGGUGCGACAACUAUAAUUAGAGGGACGAGCUUGAAAUGAGUAAACUUAGGCAGAAGUUUGGUUUUACGCCGGGUUACUGCUACCUCUUGAGCACUGCGUUGGAUUUCCUCGAAGAGGAAAGGAUGAUGUAGUAAAGUAGCGUAAGUAUUUCCCUCAGUUUUUGAGAACCAAGGUAUCAAUCCGGUAGGAGAUCACGCACGAGUCCCUCGUACCUACACAAAACGAUAGCUACUCGCAACCAACGCGAUUAGGGGUUGGCAAUCCCUUCAUGGUCACUUACGAGGGUGAGAUCAGAUAGAGAUGAUAAAUAAUAUUUUUGGUAAUAUAGAGAUGCAAAGUGAAAAGUAAAAGGCAAAGUAAAAACAAAGCAAGUAAUAAAGUAAUGGAGAUAGAUAUGAUGAGAAUAGACCUGGGGGCCAUAGGUUUCACUAGUGGCUUCUCUCAAGAGCAUAAGUAUUCUCCGAUGGGUAAACAAAUUACUGUUGAGCAAUUGAUAGAAAAGCAAAUAAUUAUGAGGUUAUCUAGAUAUGAUCAUGUAUAUAGGCAUCACGUCCAAGACAAGUAGAUCGAAACGAUUCUGCAUCUACUACUAUUACUCCACUCAUCGACCGCUAUCUAGCAUGCAUCUAGAGUAUUAAGUUAAAAAUAGAGUAACGCCUUAAGCAAGAUGACAUGAUGUAGAGGGAUAAAUUCAUGCAAUAUGAUAAAAACCCCAUCUUGUUAUCCUCGAUCGCAACAAUACAAUACGUGCCUUGCAACCCUUUCUGUCACUUGGUAAGGACACCACAAGAUUGAACCCAAAGCUAAACACUUCUCCCAUUGCAAGAACUACCAAUCUAGUUGGCCAAACCAAACGGAUAAUUCAAAGAGACUUGCAAAGAUAACUCAAUCAUACAUAAAAGAAUUCAGAGAAGAAUCAAAUAUUGUUCAUAGAUAAGCUGGAUCAUAAACCCACAAUUCAUCGGUCUCAACAAACACACUGCAAAAAGAAGAUUACAUCGAAUAGAUCUCCACAAGAGAGGGGGAGAACAUUGUACUGAGAUCCAAAAAGAGAGAAGAAGCCAUCUAGCUACUAGCUAUGGACCCAAAGGUCUGAAGUAAACUACUCACACUUCAUCGGAGAGGCUAUGGUGUUGAUGUAGAAGCCCUCCAUGGUAGAUUCCCUCUCCGGCGGAGCUCCGGAACAGGCCCCAAGAUGGGAUCUCGUGGAUACGGAAAGUUGCGGCGGUGGAAUUAGGUUUUUGGCUCCGAAUUUGAUUUGACGGGGGUACGUAGGUAUAUAUAGGAGGAAGGAGUACGUCGGUGGAGCAACAGGGGGCCCACAAGGCAGGGGGUGCGCCCAGGGGGGCGCGCCCCCCACCCUCGUGACCUCCACGGCUGUUCCUUGGAGUAGGGUCCAAGUCUCCUGGAUCACGUUCGGUGAGAAAAUCACGUUCUCGAAGGUUUUAUUCCGUUUGGACUCCGUUUGAUAUUUUGUUUCUUCGAAAUACUGAAAUAGGCAAAAAAGCAGCAAUUCUGGGUUGGGCCUCUGGUUAAUAGGUUAGUCCCAAAAAUGGUAUAAAAGUGGAAAAUAAAGCCCAAUAUAGUCCAAAACAGUAGAUAAAGUAGCAUGGAGCAAUAAAAAAUUAUAGAUACGUUGGCGACGUAUCAGGCAUCCCCGAGCUUAAUUCAUGCUCGUCCUCGAGUAGGUAAAUGAUAAAAAAGAAUUUUGAUGCAGAGUGAUACUUUGGCAUAAUUUCAAUGUGAAUCUUCUUAAUUGUGGCAUGAAUAUUCAGAUCCGAAAGAUUCAAGACAAAAGUUCAUAUUAACAUAAAGGUAAUAAUACUUCAAGCAUACAAAUUAAAGCAAUCAUGUCUUCUCAAAAUAGCAUGGUUAAAGAAAGUUAUCCCUACAAAAUCAUAUAGUUUGGCUAAGCUCUAACUUCAUCACACAAAGUAUUUCAUCAUGCACAACCUCGAUGACGAGCCAAGCAAUUGUUUCAUACUUUAGUAAUCUCAAACUUUUUCAACUUUCACGCAAUACAUGAGCAUGAGCCAUGGACAUAGCACUAUAGGUGGAAUAGAAUGGUGGUUGUGGAGAAGACAAAAAGGAGAAGAUAGCCUCACAUCAACUAGGUGUAUCAACGGGCUAUGGAUAUGCCCAUCAAUAGAUAUCGAUGUGAGUGAGUAGGGAUUGCCAUGCAACGGAUGCACUAGAGCUAUAAAUAUGUGAAAGCUCAACAAAAGAAACUAAGUGGGUGUGCAUCCAACUUGCUUGCUCACGAAGACCUAGGGCACUUUUGAGGAAGCCCAUCAUUGGAAUAUACAAGCCAAGUUCUAUAAUGAAAAAUUCCCACUAGUAUAUGAAAGUGACAACAUAUGAGAUUCUCUAUCAUGAAGAUCAUGGUGCUACUUUGAAGCACAAGUGUGGAAAAAGGAUAGUAGCAUUGUCCCUUCUCUCUUUUUCUCUCAUAUUUUUUUUAUUUGGGCCUUUUCUCUCUUUUUUUUGUGGCCACUCUUUUUUUUCGUCCGGAGUCUCAUCCCGACUUAUGGGGGAAUCAUAGUCUCCAUCAUCCUUUCCUCACUGGGACAAUGCUCAAAUAAUGAUGAUCAUCACACUUUUAUUUUACUUACAACUCAACAAUUACAACUCGAUACUUAGAACAAAAUAUGACUCUAUAUGAAUGCCUCCGGCGACGUACCAGGAUAUGCAAUGAAUCAUGAGCGACAUGUAUGAAAAUUAUGAAGGUGGCCUUGCCACAAAUACAAUGUCAACUACAUGUUUCAUGCAAAAAGCAAUAUGACAAAAGCAAUAUGUGUCAUAUGAACGGAACGGUUGAAAGUUGCAUGGAAAUAUAUCUCGGAAUGGCUAUGAAAAUGCCAUGAUAGGUAGGUAUGGUGGAUGUUUUGAGGAAGGUAUAUGGUGGGUGUAUGAUACCGGCGAAAAGUGCGCGGUAUUAGAGAGGCUAGCAAUGGUGGAAGGGUGAGAGUGCGUAUAAUCCAUGGACUCAACAUUAAUCAAAAGAACUCAUGCACUUAUUGCAAAAAUUUAGAAGUCAUCAAAAACCAAAGCACUACACGCAUACUCCUAGGGGGAUAGAUUGGUAGGAAAAGACCAUCGCUCGUCCCCGACUGCCACUCACAAGGAAGACAAUCAAUAAAUAAAAUUGUGCUCUGACUUUAUAACAAAGCGGUUCACCAUACGUGCAUGCUACGGGAAUCACAAACUUCAAUUCAAGCAUUCUUUAAAUUCAUAAUCACCCCAACUAGCAUUUCUUCGAUAUUAUCACUUCCAUAUCUCAAAACAAUUAUCAAGCAUCAAACUUAUCUUAGUAUUCAACGCACUCAAAAGAAAGUUUCACAAAUCUUGAAUACCAAGUAUAUUAUCUUUAAGCAAAUUACCAUGCUAUUAACAACUCUCAAAAUAAUCUAAGUGAAGCAUGAGAGAUCAAUAGUUUCUUUAAAACAAAUCCACCACCGUGCUCUAAAAGAUCUAAGUGAAGCACCAGAGCAAAAAUUAUUACGCUAAAAAAGGUUUAAGUGAAGCACUAUGAGCAAAACUAUCAAGCUCAAAAGAUAUAAGCGAAGCACAUAGAGUAUUCUAGAAAAUUCUAAAUCAUGUAUGGCUCUCUCAAAAGGUGUGUACAGCAAGGAUGAUUGUGGUAAACUAACAAGCAAAGACGCAAAUAAUACAAGACGCUCCAAGCAAAACACAUAACAUGUGGUGAAUAAAAAUAUAGCUCCAAGUAAAUUACCGAUGGAAGUAGACGAAAGAGGGGAUGCCUUCCGGGGCAUCCCCAAGCUUUGACUUUUUGGUGUCCUUGGAUUAUCUUGGGGGUGCCAUGGGCAUCCCCAAGCUUAGGCUCUUGCCACUCUUUGUUCCAUAAUCCAUCAAAAGAAUUCACCCAAAACUUGAAAACUUCACAACACAAAACUCAAUAGAAAUCUCGUGAGCUCCGUUAGUGAAAGAAAACAAAAGACUACUUUCAGGUACUGUAAUGAACUCAUUCUUUAUUUAUAUUGGUGUUAAACCUACUGUAUUCCAACUUCCUUAUGGUUUAUAAACUAAUUUAUUAGCCAUAGAUGCAUUGAAAUAAGCAAACAACACACGAAAAACAGAAUAUGUCAAAAACAGAACAGUCUAUAGCAAUCUGUAUCUAAAGCAAACUUCUGGAACUCUAAAAAUUCUACCAAAAUAGGAAGUACUGGAAAAUUUUUUUAUUGAUCAGCAGCAAAAAUAAUCAAUGCAAAAUCACGUUCCUGUGAUUUAUUAAAUAUUUUCUCAUGAGCGCAAAGUUUCUGUUUUUCAGCAGAAUCAAAUCAACCAUCAUCAUAGCUUAUCCUAUAGGUUCUACUUGGCACAAAAACAAAUUAAAGCAUAAAACCACAUCUAAACAUAAAGUAGAUGGAUUAUUUAUUCCUAAACAGAAGAAAAAACAAAAAACACAAAAUAAAAUUGGGUUGUCUCCCAACAAGCGCUAUCGUUUAACGCCCUUAGCUAGGCAUAAAAGCGAAGAUAGAUCUAGGUUUUGCCAUCUUUGGUAGGCGGUCCAUAAGUGGCUCUCAUGAUAGAUUCAUAUGGUAAUUUUAUUUUCUUUCUAGGGAAGUGUUCCAUACCCUUUCUCAUGGGAAAUUGGAAUCUAAUAUUCCCUUCCUUCAUAUCAAUAAUCGCACCAAUCGUUCUAAGGAAAGGUCUACCAAGAAUAAUAGGACAGGAAGGAUUGCAAUCUAUAUCAAGAACGAUAAAAUCUAUGGGCACAUAAUUCCUAUUUGCAACGAAUAUCAUUAAUUCUUCCCAUAGGCUUUUUAAUAGUGGAAUCCACAAGAUGCAAGUUUAGAGAGCAAUCUUCAAAGUCACGGAAAUCUAGCAAAUCACACAAAGUUUUGGGAAUAGUGGAGACACGAGCACUCAAAUCACACAAGGCAUGAAACUCAUAAUCUUUAAUUUUAACUUUAAUGGUAGGUUCCCACUAAUCAUAGAGUUUUCUAGGGAUAGAAACUUUCAGCUCAAGUUUUUCUUCAUACGAUUGCAUCAAGGCAUCAACAAUGUGUUCGGUAAAGGCCUUAUUUUGACUAUAAGCAUGAGGAGAAUCUAGCACGGAUUGCAACAAGGAAAUACAACCAAUCAAAGAGCAAUUUUCAUAAUUAAUUCCUUGAGAUCGAAAAUAGUGGGUUUAGCAACAUCAAGAUUUUUAUUUCUUUCAAUCCCACUUUCAUCAAUUUCAUCAUCAAGAUCUAGAAACUCCGAAUUCUUAGAACGCCUUCUAGGUAAAGGAAGAUCAUAUUCAGUUUCAUCAAGAUUCAUAUUGCAAACAAAGAUUUAAUAGGGGACACAUCAAUAACUUUUAGAUCUUCAUCUUGAUUUUCAUAGGAAUUCGGUUUAGCGGCCAUCUUAUUAACUAAGGUAGCUUGCAUAUCCGAAAUUUCAGCGGUCAUCUUUUCAAGACAAGCAAUUUGAGCUCUUAUACCAUCGAAUUCUUUAGACAUAUCAUCGAGUUCUUUAUUCAUAUAACUCAUAAAACCUUUUUCUUCCUUCCGCUCGUUUCUAAAGAAAUUAUUAUGCUCGAAUUGCAAAACCAUAAACUUUCUGACAUUACUUUCGAUCUCCUCUAGCCUUUUAAGGUCAAGAUCACCAAAUUUAGGGAGAACCAUUGCGACAAGUAAGUAGACUAACACACGAGCAAACAAAAAGGCAAACGAGCAAAAGGCGAAAGAGAAAGAGAGGAGGAGAUUGGGAAAGAGAGGGCGAAUAAAACAUCAAGGGUGAAGUGGGGGAGAGGAAAACAAGAGGCAAAUAAUGUAAUGCGAGAGAUAGGGAUUGUGAUGGGUACUUGGUAUGGUUAACUUUUGCGCAAACUCCCCGACAACGGUGCCAGAAAUUCUUCUUGCUACCUCUUGAGCACUGCGUUGGAUUUCCCCGAAGAGGAAAGGAUGAUGCAGUAAAGUAGCAUAAGUAUUUCCCUCAGUUUUUGAGAACCAAGGUAUCAACCGAGUAGGAGAUCACGCACGAGUCCCUCGUACCUACACCAAAACGAUAGCUACUCGCAACCAACGCGAUUAGGGGUUGUCAAUCCCUUCACGGUCACUUACGAGGGUGAGAUCUGAUAGAGAUGAUAAAUAAUAUUUUUGGUAUUUUUGAUAUAGAGGUGCAAAGUGAAAAGUAAAAGGCAAAGUCAAAACAAAGCAAGUAAUAAAGUAAUGGAGAUUGAUAUGAUGAGAAUAGACCUGGGGGCCAUAGGUUUCACUAGUGGCUUCUCUCAAGAGCAUAAGUAUUCUACGGUGGGUGAACAAAUUAAUGUUGAGCAAUUGAUAGAAAAGCGAAUAAUUAUGAGGUUAUCUAGAUAUGAUCAUGUAUAUAGGCAUCACGUCCAAGACAAGUAGAUCGAAAUGAUUCUGCAUCUACAACUAUUACUCCACUCAUCAACCGCUAUCCAGCAUGCAUCUAGAGUAUUAAGUUAAAAACAGAGUAACGCCUUAAGCAAGAUGACAUGAUGUAGAGGGAUAAAUUCAUGCAAUAUGAUAAAAAAAACAUAUUGUUAUCCUCGAUGGCAAUAAUACAAUACGUGCCUUGCAACCCUUUCUGUCACUGGGUAAGGACACCGCAAGAUUGAACCCAAAGCUAAACACUUCUCCCAUUGCAAGAACUACCAAUCUAGUUGGCCAAACCAAACGAAUAAUUCGAAGAGACUUGCAAAGAUAACUCAAUCAUACAUAAAAGAAUUCAGAGAAGAAUCAAAUAUUGUUCAUAGAUAAGCUGGAUCAUAAACCCACAAUUCAUCGGUCUCAACAAACACACUGCAAAAAGAAGAUUGCAUUGAAUAGAUCUCCACAAGAGAGAGGGAGAACAUUGUACUGAGAUCCAAAAAGAGAGAAGAAGCCAUCUAGCUACUAGCUAUGGACCCGAAGGUCUGAAGUAAACUACUCACACUUCAUCCGAGAGGCUAUGGUGUUGAUGUAGAAGCCCUCCGUGGUAGAUUCCCUCGCCGGCGGAGCUCCGGAACAGGCCCCAAGAUGGGAUCUCGUGGAUACAGAAAGUUGCGGCGGUGGAAUUAGGUUUUUGGCUCCGAAUUUGAUCUGACGGGGGUAUGUAGGUAUAUAUAGGAGGAAGGAGUAUGUCGGUGGAGAAACAGGUGGCCCACAAGGCAGGGGGGCGCGCCCAGGGGGGUGCCCCCCACCCUCGUGACCUCCACGGCUGUUCCUUGGAGCAAGGUCCAAGUCUCCUGGAUCACGUCCGGUGAGAAAAUCACGUUCCCGAAGGUUUUAUUCCGUUUGGACUCCCUUUGAAAUUAUGUUUCUUCGAAAUACUGAAAUAGGCAAAAAAACAGCAAUUCUGGGCUGGGCCUCCGGUGAAUAGGUUAGUCCAAAAAAUAAUAUAAAAGUGGAAAAUAAAGCCCAAUAUAGUCCAAAAUAGUAGAUAAAGUAGCAUGGAGCAAUCAAAUAUUAUAGAUGCGUUGGAGACGUAUCAGUUACACGGUCUAGACAUUACAUGGUGAGUCUGCCCAACGUGCAAGAGCCGAGGUGGUUCGUUGUCGCACCGCAGACAUGGUGCAAGACUUUGACGAUGCUCGGGACUCGGACAAGGAGAUGGAGGAAUCUGCAAAGGCCUUCACUAAAAUGUUGGAGUCCUCAAAACGUCCUCUCCACGAGCACACUGAGAUUUGUCAGCUGGAUGCCAUCUCACAAAUAAUGGCUUUGAAGGCUCAAUUCAACUUGGGCAGAGAAUGCUACGACGCGAUCAUGACAGUUUUAGGACGAUUUCUACCCAAAGGCCAUGUGCUACCUCCACACAUGUACUAGUCAGACAAAAUCCUCCGUGCUCUUAAGAUGCCCUAUGAGAAGAUACAUGCCUGUGAGAAAGGAUGUGUCUUAUUUAGGCUUCAGUAUGAGGACUUGAACUAUUGUCCCAUUUGCAAUUCUUCCAGGUAUGUUGUGGUAGACAACGGUAUGGAUGAGAAGACGCAGACCAAAAUACCCGUUAAUGUUCUUCGAUGUAUGCCAAACAUACCAAGACUUCAACGUCUUUUCAUGGUCGAAGAGACGGCCAGACAGAUGACAUGGCACAAAACAGGCAAAAGAACCGAACUAGAUGCAGAUGGGAAUGUGAUGAUGGUGCACACAUCGGAUGGUGAAGUGUGGAAGCGCUUCGAUGCAUUACAUAAGGGAAAAACGACAGAUCCAAGGCAUCCUCGAGUCACCAUCAGCACAUAUGGGUUCAGUGUGUUUGGUCAGAUGGCAGCCCCAUACAGUUGUUGGCCCGUGUUUGUCAUUCCACUCAAUCUCCCCCCCCCCCCGGGUAGAUUAUGCAAAGAAAGAACAUUUUCCUGACAUUGAUAAUUCCAGGGCCCAACUAUUCGGGGAAGAAUAUGAAUGUGUACAUGCAGCCGCUUAAGGACGAAUUGCAAGAAGCUUGGGAUAAUGGGUUCAAGACAUAUGACGCCUUUAGCAAAGAGAACUUCAUAAUGCGUCCCAGGGACAUGUACUCGACGCAUGACUUGCCGGCGUAUGCGCUAUUCGUUGGCUGGUGUGUGCAUGGAUGGUUCCCGUGCCCCACAUGUAAGGGAGCUCUUGAGUUUCGUUGGCUGACGGCGGGGCACAAGUAUAGAUGCUUCGACUUGCAUAGACAGUUUCUAGAUCCUCGCCAUAAGUUCAGGAAAGACAAGAAGAACUUCAUGAAAGGUAGAGUUGUCAAACACUCUGCACCACCUGCGUUGACAGGCCAACAGACCCUAGAUCAGUUAAACACUCUCGAGACAGAUCUAGAGCGUCCAGGGUAUUUCAAGGGGUAUAAUAAGGACCACGCAUGGACUCACAAGACAUGCUUCUGGGAUCUGCCUUACUUCGAAGACCUCCUUUUCCCACACAACAUCGACGUGAUGCACACUGAAAAGAAUAUCGCCAAAGCCAUUUUUGGUACAUUGUUCAGCAUAGAGGGGAAAUCAAAGGAUAAUACUAAGGCUAGAGAUGAUCAAGAGGAGCUCUAUGAUAGACCGUUACAAAACAUGCAAGAACUGAAAGGAAAGCGGAACUGGAAGAAGCCAAAGGCAUGGUUCAAUCUUGGAAGGCUAGCUAUGAAGGAAAUUAUUUUGUGGGUGAAAAUGCAGUUGAUGUUCCCCAAUGGGUGUGCAGCAAAUCUAAAGAGGGGAGCGAGUCUUGAUAAAUUGUAAAUAUUUGGUUUAAAAAGUCAUGAUUGGCACAUAUGGAUAGAGCGGAUAAUGCAGGUGAUGUUGCGUGGCUUCAUCCCUGAGGAUGAAUGGCUAGUACUGGUAGAGCUGAGCUAUUUUCUUCUGUGUUCUUUGUGCGGAAGAACUAUUGCCUGACCUCCUAUAAGAAAUGGAACAGUUGGUGCCGGAGUUGAUCUGCAAGUUAGAGAUGAUCUUUCUGACAAGCUUCUUUAAUCCAAUGCAACACUUGAUUUUGCAUCUCCCAACUGAGGCACGAUUGGGGGGGCGUUCAAAAUCGUUGGUGCUACUCAACUAAGAGGAUGCAGAAGACGCUUUGAGCAAAAUGUAAAAAUAAACGUAGAAUAGAAGCAUCGAUGGCUGAGGCAUUCAUCACUGAGGAGGCGUCAAUCUUUGUGACAGCACACUACGAAGCCAAAAAUCGUCAUUUGCAUAAUCUGAAGCCUCGGUACAAUGCUGACGAGCCUACAAAGGGUCAAUCCAACCUCAGCCUAUUCAAAGGGAAUCUCACACCAUCCAUUGAUUGGAAACCAGUAUCGUUGGAUGUUGUAGAAUGGCGGACCAUUUCGCUGUAUCUCUUUAACAACCUAAUAGAAGUGCGGUCGUACAUCGAGUAAGAUCUCAUUACAUUGUUUCGCAACUUCUAAUUUCUUUGAACUGCUCUUAUUCCUGGAUAUUUGAUGCAGUCGAUAUGUCACCAUAUUCUCGUAUGGAGCGGUGAUCCAAAAGGAUUUCGUCGAAGAGUAUGAGCGUCUGGCAAAGCAAGGAGGCGAAUAUCCCGGUUUCAUCUCUUGGUUCAAAAAAAAGGUAAUUUCCAUUAGACCCUUUCAUUUCUUUGGCUAAUUUGUGACUAAUGCAACAAUCCUUUCUUAUUAAACUUGUAGGCUAAUUCAGAGAUUAUGGAUGCCGAAUUGAGACAAGUAGUUAAUGGUUUUGACUAUAAGGUCUAUUCAUUUGACAAUUACGACAUCAAUGGGUAUUGCUUUCGUACCCAUGGCAAAGAGUUAUCUAUGGCCGACCGAAAGUCUACAAAUUUUUGUGUCUCUGCUAUCGGCGAAGGAGGUGUCGAGUAUUAUGGAAGAGUUGAAGCAAUUUAUGAACUUCAAUUCUAUGGUGAUAACCCACCAAACGUCGUACUCUUCAGAUGUUAUUGGUUCCAGCCCAGGGAGACUAGAAGGACUCAUGAACAUAUAGGGCUAGUCGAAAUCAAACAAAGCACCCAUUUGGAUGUUCCCGAUGUCUAUAUUAUGGCUCAACAGGCAACCCAAGUUUUCUAUCUACCGUGGGCCUGUCAAAGUGAUCCAAAUCUCAGUGGUUGGGAUGUCAUUUAUGAAGUGCCGCCACAUGUUAGACCACCUCCCCCAUAUGAAGAGGAUUAUGAACGUCACAUUAACCAAGACACAUAUGACAAAGGAGAAUUCUUCCAAGAAACACGUCUUGCCAAAAAACAUUUCAAGAAAUGCUCUACUCCACCCCAGAACAUUGAAGUAGACAACGAUAGUGAAUCCUACCCUGAGCCGGAACAAGAAGAGUUGGAAGAAGAAGAAUUUACUGCUGCAGAUGGCCUGUCAAUGCUUGAACAAUUAUGUAAAGGUGGCCUUCCACAUGAUGAUGCAUUUAUUAAUGAUGAUGAUGAGCACGUCAUUACCAAUAGUGAUGAUGAUGAUGCAUUUAUUAAUGAUGAUGAUGAGCAUGUCAUUACCGAUAGUGAUUCUUAGGUAUUCAAAAUUUUAUGUUGUACUUUGUAUGAUUUAUAUAGUUGGUAUGUAUAAUUUUCUUACUUUGUAUGAUUGUUUCUUAUACAUAGUGCCAUGGUCUUGAUUUCCGUCCCCAUCAGCCCUCGCCCGCUUUAUGAUUCGUAUGUGGUAAAUUCUCUUUCAUAACUAUUUUUUGCAUUUUGCAUUUAUGACAAUUAUGGCCAUCAAGUUGACAUAGAGAUAUUUUAAUCUAGGAGGUAUGUGAACCGGAAUUUGAAAUCGACCCUCUUGUCGAGAAGUUAAAUUUAGUUGAAAAAUAAAAUGAGUAUUUGAAAGAAAAAAUUAAAAGAAUUGAAGAAGAGAAGAUGACAUUGGAGUUAUAUGUUGCCGAUGUCAUCGAUGAUCACAAGAUGAAGAUGAAUGCAAUGCGCUUCAAUAUGGAUGCAAUGCGCCUGAAGCUUAAGAAGAUUAGAAAAUAUGCCAUUGAUAAUGAGGCUUGGUAUCAUUAUGUCGUUGGAUCAAUUGUUACCUUAGUUGCGAUCUUCAUCAUAUUUGUUGCGAUGAGGGUAAGUUUUCUCUAAUGUUUUUCUUUACAAAUGGAUACUUAGCUUAUUUUCCUUCUAAAUGGCAUAAUUACCUAAGUUAUAUAAAAAAUGAGCUAUACUUAGCUUAUUCAGUUCAUUUAUGACAUACUUAGCAUACUUAGGUCAAAAAUGGCAUGAUAAUCUUUGUUACGUCCAAAUUGAUAUAGACUUAGCUUAUUUUCCUCGAAAAUGACAUAAUAACCUUACUAAGCUCCAAAAUGACCUAUUUACCUAGCUUAGCUCUAAAAUGACCUACACUUAGCAUUUUUACCUACCUUAGCUCUAAGAAGAGGUGAGGAGAAAAAGAAAGAGAAGAAAAAAUCUUCUUCUUCUUCUUCUAACUAGUCUUCUUCUUCUAACUAUGCUUCUUCUUCUUCUUCUACUUCUUCUUCUAACUUUCAUCUUUCCCAAUUUGCAGAUUUGCUUUACAUGAGGAAGGCUUGGAUUCAUGGAGUGUACUAUUCUUCUGGUGCUUCCUUGUUGUUUAUGAAAACUUGUUUGGAUAUGUAUGUCUAUAUGGAUAUGUUGUUGGAAACUUGUUUGUGGUUAUGUAUAUAUGGAUAUGUUGGACUUUGUUGAACUAUGUUGUUGGAUUUUAUCAAAUAUGUUGUUGGACAUGUUGUUGGAUAUGUUGGAUAUGUAUGCAUGUAUAUCUGUGUUUGAAACCAUGUCUAAUUAAUUGGAUUUAAAUAAAAAUAGGGGAUGUGUAGUCUCUUUGUCGUCCGCUAGCCGACGGCAAAGCUCUUUGUCGUCCGCUAGCCGACGGCAAAGAGGACACGUGGCAGUCACAUGUGCAAACUGGCAACACUGGCUGCCUAUUUGGUCAUUUUGCCGUCUGCAAGCGGACGAUAAAGUGACCAAGUAGGCCUGGAAAACAGGGCCAUCUAUGCCGUCUGCUGGCCGACGACAUAGCUGGCCAUGUGGCAGCAGCCCAGUGCUGCCCUAGCUAAGCUCUUUGCCGUCCGUCAGCGGACGGCAAAGAACGUCGUUAACCCCCUAACGGCUCUCACCUCACACCACUGCCGUCCGUCGUCGUUGCCGUCUGCUGGCCUCGGAUGGCUGACGGCACAAUCCUUUGCCGUCCUUUUCUACGAAGCGGAUGACAAAGAAGGCCUUUGCUAGCACGUGUUUAGCCGGACGGUUUGCCGUCCGCUGGCUGACGACAAAGGACUUUGCCAUCCGGGAUCCGUGCCUUUGCCGUUCGCCAUGGCGGACGGCAAAGAAGCUGAUUCCAGUAGUGUCUAGGGGGUGUAGUAACUUUUUGAGAAAAAUACGCCUCAGGUUUCGGUAUAAGUGGAUAUGCAUAAGAUUUGUUAUGAAGUCAUGUGCCAAAUUAAGAACAUGAGAGAGAGAUUAAACACAUAGCUACUGGUACAAAUUCUAACCCCAAGGGUGGACUAGUCCCUCCUCAUCAUGGUGGCUGUUGGGAUGAUGAAGAUGGCCUCCGGUGAUGAUUUCCCCCUCUGAUAGGGUGCCGAAACAGGGUCCAGAUUGGUUUUUUGUGGAUACAAACGCUUAUAGUGGCGGAACUUCUGAUCUAGGUUUAUUUCGGGGGGUUUCUAUAUUUCUAGGAUUUUUUUGGCAUUGGUCUCACGUCCAGAUGGGCUUCAGGGGGCCCACCACCCACCAGGGUGCGCCAGGGGGGCUGGUGCACCCUAGUGUCUUGUGGCCAGCAUGGGGGCCCCCUCUAGUGGUUCUUUGCUCCAUUAUUUCUCUUUUCUUCCAAAAAAUUGUCAAAAAGUUUCGUCCAAUUCCAAGAACUUCUAUUUCUGCACAAAAAACAAAACCAUGGUAAUUCUUCUGAAAACAGCGUCAGUCCGGGUUAGUUCCUUUCAAAUCAUACCAAAGCCAUAUAAAAUUGUUGUAAACAGGCCAUGAAUACUUCAUAAAUUAUAGAUACAUUGGAGACGUAUCAUCACCCCCAAGUUUAAUUCCUACUCGUCCUCGAGUGGGUAAAUGAUAAAAGAAAUAAUUUAUGAAGUGUGAACUCUAGCAUAGUGCAUAAGUUUGAUCAAUGAUAAUUUCAAUCAUUUCUCCUAGCAUCAUAACAGCAACUCUUUCUCAUAAAACUCAUCAUGAUAAAGUAGCAAUUGAAAAUGGAAUUUUUGAUGUACAAUGCUACCUAUCAUAUUUAUCAUAUACUCUUUUCUUUUAUAGCAUGGACAUUUGGUCUUGAAUGAUUCAAAGCAAUAGUCUAUAAUUUGACAAGAAGACAUCAAUACUCAAGCAUACAAACAAGCAACCAUGUCUUUCAAAAUAUCAACGCUAAAGAAAGCUAUCCCUAGCCCAUUAUGCUCAGUCAUUGAUCCAUUCAUGAAACUCACCCGAAUAUUAGCUACACCCAAUGUACAAGUAUGAUCAUAGUGCUCCCUAGUUGGUGCUUUAUAAGAGAAGAUGGAGACUCAAAUAAAAAUAAAAAUUGCAUAAAGUAAAUAGAUAAGCCCUUCGCAGAGGGAAGCAGAGAUUUGUAGAGGUGCCAGAGCUCAAAGCUUAAAUUGAGAGAUAAAAUAUUUUGAGAGGCGUGUUUUUCCCGUCAACGAAAACAGACGAGUAAUUCACAAUACUUUCCAUGCUAGAUACAUCAUAGGCGGUUCCUAAACAUAAAAUAAAGUUUAUUCCUUUUUACACCAUUCUUUCACAAUCCAUGGCUAGCCGUAUCCACGGGUGCCUUCCAUACCAACAAUUUCCAAGGAAUUUAUUAUUUGACAACAUAAAGUAAAUUUCUUUUUCAUUUCGGGACUGGGCAUCCCUAUUACCGCCACACUCUCAUACAGUGACAAGUGAAUAAACACUCAUCUUGAGAAUAACACAUCUAGCAUGGAAAAAUAUUGGCCACCCCCUGCCGUUUCAUGAGCGGUACAGGCACACAAAAAGGAAAUUCAUUUUGAAAAUUAGAGUUGGCACAUACAAAUUUAGUUGGAACGACAUGGAAAUACCGCAUAUAGGUAGGUAUGGUAGACUCAUUUGGCACAACUUGGUUUAAAGAGUUUGGAUGCACAAGUAGUAUUCCCGCUUAGUACAAAUCAAGGCUAGCAAAUAUAUUGAGAAGUAACCAACCAAGAAAGGAAAACGAUCAUUAAACAUAGCUAACACCGAAUAAUGCACCACAAGUAGGAUAUGACUUCAUUGCAUAACUAUUGACUUUCGUGCUUACAUAGGGAAUCACAAACCUUAACACCAAUAUUCCUACUAAAGCACAAUUACUCACCAUCAUGACUCACCUAUUAUUAUCUCCAUAUCGCAAAACUAUUGCAAGGAAUUAAACUUAUAAUAUCCAAUGAUCUACAUGAGAGUUUUUAUUAUAUCCUUCUUGAAUAUCCAUCACUUUGGGAACAAUUUCAUAGCUUGUGCAAAUUUUCAUCACUAUCAUUAACUCUCAAAAUAAUAUAAGUGAAGCCUGAGAGUGUUCGACAAACUACUCCAAAAAUAAAUAAGUGAAGAUCAAAUAGGUAGUUAAGUAAAUAGGUAGCUAUUUGAGGACUCUCUCUUAUUUAAAAAUUUCAGAUCUUAAGUAUUUUAUGAAAAUAGAAAGCAAAACAAAAUAAAAUGACAUUUCAAGAAUAACACAACUCAUGUGAAGAAGCAAACACUUCGGCUCAACCGAGGCUAACCGGUAAUUGUUGAUGAAGAAAGGUGGGAUGCCUACCGGGGCAUCCCCAGGCUUAGAUGCUUGAGACUUGUUGGAAUAUUAUCUUGGGAUGACUUGGGCAUCCCCAAGCUUGAGAUUUUGUGUCUCCUUAAUUCCUUUUAUAUCACAAUUUCCCUAAAUCUUAAAAACUCCAUCCACACAAAACUCGACAAGAACUCGUGAGAUAAGUUAGUAUAAAUCAAUGCAAUAACCUUAUGAUUCUCUACUGUAGCAAAUCACUAAAAUUAUUAUUUAACAUUGCAUACUAAAUGCCUCUGCAUAUUUAAUACUCCUAUCCUCAAAUAGAAUCAUUAAACAAGCAAACAUAUGCAGACAAUGCAAUCAUAACAACAAUCUGUCUAAACAGGACAGUCUGUAAAGGAUGCAAGAAGAUUCAUACUUCUAUAACUCCAAAAAUUUUGAAAAAUUAGCACACUGUAGAAAAUUUACAUAGCUUAUUUUGCAAGAAAAUUCAACAUUUUAUCACAUUCUUACUUUUUUCAAGAAUUCACACACUAGCGUGCAACUUUCUGUUUUCAAACAGCAACAUAUAGACUUGCAAAAUAAGCAUGGCAAAGGCUAUACUUGACAUUUUUAUUGAAGAAAAAUAUGCAAAACAUUAUUAUAAAUAAAAACAAGCAAAUGAUAAUAAAAUAAAAUGAUGCUCCAAGCAAAACACAUAUCAUGUGAUGAAUGAAAAUAUAGCUCCAAGUGAGGUUACCGAUAAUGUUGGAGACGAAAGAGGGGAUGCCUUCCGGGGCAUCCCUAAUCUUAGUUGCUUCGAUCCUUCUUGAAUAUUACCUUGGGGGUGCCUUGGGCAUCCCCAGGCUUAGGGUCUUAUCACUCCUUAUUCUCCCCAUAUUGAUAUCUCACCCAAAACUUGAAAACUUCAAUCACACAAAACUUAAAAGAACUUUGUGAGAUGUCUUAGUAUGAUAAAGAACAAUUCAUUCAAUUUGGUACUGUCAAGGCAAGAUUCAUAAUUGUCCUCACACAAUUCCUAUUGUAACUUAUCAUUUCCACAAUUUAUAUUGAGUAAUAUAAGCCACAUAAACUAGGAAACAAGCAAACUAUGAAUUGAAAACAGAAUCUGUCAAAAACAGAACAUUCUCUAGUAAUCAGAAGAAAGACCAUACUUCUGCAACUCUAAAAAUUCUGAAAAAUUAGGACAUCGUAGAUAAUUUGUAAAUCAAUCAUAUUUAAAAAAUUCAGAUCAAAAGCACGGUCCACUGAAUUUUCAAAAUUCCAGAACUGGGCCCAAAAGUUUCUGUUUUUGCACAGAAUCAAGUCAACUAUCAUCCACACUAUCCCAAAGACUUUAGUUGGCACUUUAUCCAAACAAAAGAUAUAAAACAUGAUUACUACAUUAGAAUAAUCAUGUGAACACACAAAAAUAGUAGGGGUAAAUGUUGGGUUGUCUCCCAACAAGCGCUUUUCUUUAAUGCCUUUUUAGCUAGGCGUGAUAAUUUCCAUGAUGCUCAUACAAAAGUUAAGAAUUGAAACACAAAGAGAGCAUAAUGAAGCAUAUGACUAGCACAUUUAAGUAUAACCCACUUAUUAUGUAUAGGUAUUUUGUGAGCAAACAAUUUAUGGUAACAAGAAUCAACUAGCAUAGGAAGGCAAAACAAGCAAAACUUCAAGAUUUUCAACACAUAGAGAGGAAACUUGAUAUUAUUGCAAUAUGUAAAAGCAUAUGUUCCUCUCCCAUAGUAAUUUUCAGUAGCAUCAUGAAUGAAUUUAACAAUAUAGCUAUCACAUAAAGCAUUCUUUUCAUGAUCCACAUGCAUAAAUUUUGUAUUACUCUCCACAUAAGCAAAUUUAAUCUUGUUCAUAGUAGUGGGAGCAAACUCAACAAAAUAACUAUCAUGUGAUACUUGAUUUUAAUCAAUUUGAGCACUAAAAUCGUGAUGAAAAAUUUCAUGGUUAUCAUUAUUCUUUAUAGCAUACAUGUCAUUAUCAUAAUCAUCACAGAUAGCAACGUUGUUGUCAUAAUCAAUUGAAACCUCUCCCAAUAUAGUGGAUUCAUUAUUAAAUAAAGUCAUGACCUCUCCAAAUCCACUUUCAUAAUUAUUAGAACAAGAACCUCAAAGAGUGCCCCAAGAUUUCUACCGGAGAAACAAAGACGAGAACGUGCAUCAACUCCUAUGCAUAUAUUACCCCAAUGUCACCUCGGUAAUCCGCGAGUUGAGUGCCAAAACACACAUCAACUCAAUCAAUAUGAUACCCCGUUGUCACCAUGGGGAUUCAUAUCAAGACAUACAUCAAGUGCUCUCAAAUCCAUAAAAGUAUUAAAUCCGUUAAUAACAAAAUCUGAAAGGGAAAACUCAAUUCAUCACAACAAGAUAGAGAGGGGGAAACACCAUAUGAUCCAACUAUAUUAACAAAGCACAUGAUACAUCAAGAUCGUGCCAAAUCAAGAACACAAGAGAGAGAGAGAGAGAGAGAUUAAACACAUAGCUAUUGGUACAAACCCUUAGCCCUGAGGAUGGACAACUCCCUCCUCAUCAUGGUGGCCGCCGGGAUGAUGAAGAUGGCCUCCGGUGAUGAUUUCCCCCUCCGACAGGGUGCUAAAAUAGGGUCCAGAUUGGUUUUUCAUGGAUACAGAGGCUUUAGGUGGUGGAACUUCUGAUCUAGGUUUAUUUCUGGGGGUUUAUGUAUUUAUAGGAUUUUUUGGCGUCGGUCUCAUGUCCAGAUGGGCUUGAGGGGGCCCACCACCCACCAGGGCGUGCUAGGGGGGCUGGCGCACCUAAGUGUGUUGUGAGCAGCAGGGGGGCCCUCUAGUGGUUCUUUGCUCCAUUAUUUCUCUUUUCUUCCAAAAAAAUCGUCAAAAAGUUUCGUCCAAUUCUGAGAACUUUUAUUUUUGCACAAAAAAGAACACCACGGCAAUUCUACUGAAAACAAUGUUAGUCCAGGUUAGUUCCAUUCAAAUCAUACCAAAACCAUAUAAAUUUUUUGUAAGCAUGGCAUGGAUACUUCAUAAAUUAAAGAUACAUUGGAGACGUAUCAGAUUGCUCUGUAUUUGUAUAAGAGAACCACUUUCUCAAGUUAGGCCCCAUAUUGCCAAGUUAAUGUUUUUAUGCACUUCUGUUCAAGUUUUUGCUUAGCUUGGGAACAAUCUUGUGAUCCUCUGAAAGACAUUGCCACAGUCUCUACCCCUAAAAAAUGAUGAUGAUGGUUGAAUAAAAAGUUUGACACUUGUUAGAAUUGUUCUAGAAGAAAGAGUUAUCGAGUUGCAUAACCCCAUGGUGUUUUAUAUAAUAGACUCAAUUGCCCUUGUGAAUAAAUAUUUCUAGAGGAACUUGGUUGAAAGGUGAAUGAGAUUAUGCAAAAAUCUAUGUUGCAUUACAUGGCGCUUCAACUUCUCGCUGGUGCUAUGGCCUUGCUACUCUAUGCACGUAUAUGUGUGUAAAUGUGGCUUCGUCACCUCUCUUGAUGUUAUGCUAAGAACUUCGAUGUCCUAUGAAUGAUCCACCAGAAUUUCGGCUAUGAGUCUGUUAACGUUCACAAUGGCAACACUGCAACGAAUAUUAUUUGACUUUCUCUUGAGUGAGUGUGUAUGUGCUAAUAUGGGUACUGAUCCCAAGAGCUCGAAAGAGACAAUAUAUUGGUCCAUAGUACUCAAACUUAAGCCAUUGUGAAACCGAAGUAUGAUCAUUUCUUUGGUAUCAUCCCGUCACCUAACAAUAAAAGUUUCAGCAAACAAUGAUUGAAGUAAGUGCCUGACAACCUUGCGUUGAGAAUGUUAGUGGGCAUGAAUGAAAAACUCCAUAUCUCGACUUUUUGACAACUCUCUUUGCUCAAGUUCUUUUUUUUGAGAAAACAACAAAAAUAAAUGAAUAAGGUAAUAAGUAAGAGGAUCCAAGUAUUUGUUUUCAUGCUAGAUUAAACUUUGACAAGGAGCAUAGAAAUUUUUACUAAGGCUCUAGUGGUUUGGUGAUCAAAAUAAAUAUUAUCUAGCUGAGCAUGUGCUACCUUGUAAAAAUAUGCUCUAUCUUGCUUAUAGCUUGCAGACAAGUAAAGGAUACGCCUUUGGGGCAACAAUGUUAUUGAUGAGCUAGAUGGAACUUUUGUUUAUCAAGCUUUUUGCUCGAGGACGAGUUGCUUGAAGCUUGGGGAUGUUGAUGAGUGGAUUGUAGGCAUGCUUUUUAGACUAUAUUUUAGUGCCAAAAUCCCUCAUACCAAAUCCAUCUAGCACUUAUUCAUGUCUUCAAUGCAUAGUUUUUGGUAUUUAAUUGUUUAACCAAGUGCAUUGCACACUUUUUAUUUUUAUUUAGUUUUCCUUUGUUUUGUGGCCUUUGUAGGUGUGUUGACGAGUUCAUUGACUUGGGACAUCAAAAGAAUCAAGCUAGGGGUCAAACCCGAGAAGUUCCAGGAACUAGAUCAAGGCCCUUUGGAGAGUUUGAUGAUUUGAUAUUUAUCAAAGUGUCCAAAAUGAAGAUCCAAGGCCACAAACACAUCGGGCUUUUCGCAAGCAAUCCAAUGAGCCCAAGAACAUCAAAAUCGGAGUUCGUAUGAAGAAUGAUGACCAAAAUACGAAGCGGCUCCCGAAGUCUAGAGUGAAAGACGGCCUUUCAAAUGACCAGAGCCGUCCUUUUGAGCGGUCGUUUGAGCUCCAGACAACCAUGGAAAUUGGCCAGAACUUUCAAUUUUGCUCCAAUUUCGUUACCAUUUUUCCUUAUGAGAUCCUUGAUGACCAAGGCUUGUUUGCAACGUGGUUUGGCUCCCCUUGAGCCCUUGGAUGAAAGGGAGGAGGCUAGAUCAACGGAGGAGAACCGGGGUAGACUCCUAUAUGAAGACUUCCAACACUAGCCGCCGAAUCAUCUCAUCUUCAUCAUCUACAAAUCUCAUCUACAGCCACCAUAUCUCCAUUGCAGCACCUCCACCAUAGAGAGAAGGGCCGGCCCAAGGAAGAAGGAAGGGAGGAGGCGCCUCCACGCCGGCGCUGGCUGGAGGGACGGUGCCCUCGUCAUCACCGCCAACAUGCCUCUCCCCAUCUCCAUCUCCAACUUUGUGUUGGCUUGUAACUCAUCACUAAUCUCUAUGUACUCCAUCCUCAUGUUCGAGUAAUUUAUUAGUUCUUAGGCGAAUAACAUGAACUCUAGUAUGUGCUAGUACCGAUUGUCUUGUGCGAUAUGAUAUCCUCUUUGCAUGUUUAUGUUAGUAGUCUUCUGGAAGUUGAGUGAAGUCAACCAUCCAAUGUAUGCCAAUUUUGGAUGGAAGGUUAUUACUGUUGGCGAACUGUGUGGUUGGUGAGGUGGGUGACUAGCCCCAUCUCCCUUCAUAGCGGAAUGUUGCAUUAGGGGGUAAAAUGGAGACCACUUUGGUUGCGUUCACGUGGACCUUUUUCCCUUUAAUCACCGUCUGGUAACCAGAGUGGGGAAGGACAGUGGUGGUGCAUGUGAUAUGGGAUUGUCGUGUGUGUGUGCACAUAUCUGUACUGGCUCCGUCCACAAAGAUAAACACGUAAAAUGGCUUAGUAUUAGUAAAAAUAACAUGUACUGAUGAUUCCGAAUGCCUCGAGAACACCCUUAUUACUCACGCGCCGCUCCUUUUUUCCCGUUGUUUUAUUUAUGUUUUUAUCUCCGCGUAGUUGUUUAGUUAAAACCACCCUAAUUUUCCUUUUCACUAGCAACUGGCGAAUAGAAUAUUUCCAGAUAAUGCUCUGGGUGUGAAUGUAGCCACGUAAGUGACGGCGUAGCUGCGGGGUUGGUAGUUAUCAUUGCAACCACCGCUCCCUAUGGUAUCAACAUACUCUACUUGCCACGAAUUGCUAUAGCCCUAUGCCCUUGCAGUUCAUCAACCACCAGACAUUUACAAACUUCUUGGGGCACACCACAAGCAAGGAAGCUUUCGGGGAACCUCUACUGCUUAAGAACCCAAACUCCAAGAGUAACAAGUGUUGAUGAAGAAAUCGAGUGAGGUACGCAAAUAGGUUUGAUGGAAGUGUACAUCGGGUCCUGCUCUUUCUAUCCCCAAGGAAUCAACAAGUUUGUCUCAACGAAUAGAGGGUCUUGUGAAAAAUGGAGCUUGGUAAUGGUGGAGCAGCUAUUAAGACCUUAGAGUUAGGUUGGAGGAGGAAGAAGGUACCUUAUAUUCCCUUCCACAUAAUUUAUCCAUUGUCCACCUAAUGGCCCCAUGCGCAUGGCUAAGUUGGCCCUGUGCGCACGGGAUUGCUCGAGACAAAUCCCCAGACCCUGUGGGCACGGUCAGUGACAUGUGUGCACUGGGUGUCCAGAGAGAUUUCCUUUACCCUCGCGGGCACGGGUUGCCAUGGUCUCAUGCACACGAAGUGUCUAGAGACUUUACUACGGACCCCGUGGGCACAGGGUAAGAUGACCAAAAGUACACUUGGUGGGAGAUAUCAAGGUAAUCUUUGUUGUUAGGUAUAGGAUGGCUAGUAUAUGAAUUUAGCACAUUCCCACACUUUCAGUCAAGUACCUCGACGCUUAGUACUGCAGGUGUCCUAGGACUUAAAUAAAGAGAAACCAAAGCUUAGCGUCCUCGAGAAACCAUACGUUUAUCCUUUAUGAGGUGGGGGUGAUAACCCACAAGUAUAGGGGAUCGCAAUAGUUUUCGAGGGUAGAGUAUUCAACCCAAAUUUAUUGAUUCGACACAAGGGGAGCCAAACAAUAUUCUCAAGUAUUAGCAGCUGAGUUGUCAAUUCAACCACACCUGGAAGACUUAAUAUCUGCAGCAAAGUAGUAUGGAAGUAACGGUAACGGUGGCAAAAGUAACAGUAGCAGUUUUGUAGCAAUCGUAACAGUGGCAACGGAAAAGUAACUAAGCAAAGAUCAAUAUAUGAAAAGCUCGUAGGCAAUGGAUCAAUGAUGGAUAAUUAUGUCGAAUGGCAUUCAUCAUGCAACAGUUAUAACAUAGGGUGGCACAGAGCUGGCUCUAAUUCAUCAAUAUAAUGUAGGCAUGUAUUCCGAAUAUAGUCAUACGUGCUUAUGGAAAAGAACUUGCAUGACAUAUUUUGUCCUACCCUCCCAUGGCAGCGGGUCCUAUUGGAAACUAAGGGAUAUUAAGGCCUCCUUUUAAUAGAGUACCAGACCAAAGCAUUAGCACUUAGUGAAUAAUGAUCUCCUCAAAAUAUGGUCAUCACCAGGAAGUGUCACGACUAAUGUCACCUUGGGGUUGCCGGAUCAUAACACGUAGUAGGUGACUAUAACUUGCAAGAUAGAUCAAGAACUCACAUAUAUUCAUGAAAACAUAAUAGGUUCAGUUCUGAAAUCAUGGCACUCGGGCCCUAGUGACAAGCAUUAAGCAUAGCAAAGUCAUAGCAACAUCAAUCUUAGAACAUAGUGGAUACUAGGGAUCAAACCCUAACAAAACUAACUCGAUUACAUGGUAAAUCUCAUCCAACCCAUCACCGUCCAGCAAGCCUACGAUGGAAUUACUCACGCACGGCAGUGAGCAUCAUGAAAUUGGUGAUGGAGGAUGGUUGAUGAUGAUGACGGUGAAGAUUUCCCGUCUCCAGAGCCCAAAACGGACUCCAGAUCUGCCAUCCCGAGUAAGAACAGGAGGUGGCGGUGGCGGCUCCAUAUCGUAAAACCUGAUGAAUCCUUCUCUCUGUUUUUUCUCCCCGAACGUGAAUAUAUGGAGUUGGAGUGGAGGUCGGUGGAGGACUGUGGGGCCCACAAGACCAGAUGGCGCGCCCCAGCGAGGUGGGCGCACCCUCCACCCUUGUGGACAGGGUGGUGGGUCCCCUCUGGUUGAUUCUUUCACCAAUUUUUUUAUUUAUUUCAAAAAUAAUCUCCGUGGAGUUUCAGGUCAUUCUGAGAACUUUUAUUUCUGCACAAGAAUAACACCAUGGCAAUUCUGCAGAAAACAACAUCAGUCCGGGUUAGUUCCAUUCAAAUCAUGCAAAUUAGAGUCCAAAACAAGGGCAAAAGAGUUUGGAAAAGUAGAUACAUUGGAGACGUAUCAACUCCCCCAAGCUUAACCCAUUGCUUUUCAUGAAGCAAUUCAGUUGACAAACUGAAAGUGAUAAAUAAUUUUUUUUACAAACUCUAUUCGAUUGUUGUUGCAAAUAUGUAAAGCCAACAUUCAAGUUUUCAACAAAUAUUAUGAACUAACCAUAUUCACAAUAACAUUUAGGUCUCACCUUUACUCAUAUCAAUGGCAUAAUAUAACAAGAUGGUAUCUCGCUAGCCCUUUCUUAGACCGCAAAACAUAAAUGCAGAGCACCCCUGAAGAUCAAGGACUGACUAGACAUUGUAAUUCAGCAAAAGAGAUCCAGUCACAGUCAUACUCAAUAUCAAUUAAUAACAAUGCAUACAAAUGACAGUGGUGCUCUCUAACUGGUGCUUUUUAUAAGAGGAUGAUGACUCAACAUAAAAGUAAAUGGAUAGGCCCUUCGCAGAGGGAAGCAGGGAUUUGUAGAGGUGACACAGCUCGAGUUUUUGAAACAGAGAUAAAUAAUAUUUAUGGAGUGUGCUUUCAUUGUCAACAUAACAACCAAGAGAUCUCGGUAUCUUCCAUGCUACAUACAUUAUAGGCGGUUCCCAAACAGAACAGUAGAGUUUAUACUCCCCCACCACCAACAAGCACAUUCCAUGGUUGGUCCGAAACAAUGGGUACCGUCCAACUAACAACAAUCCUGUGGGAGUUUUUUUUGCAAUUAUUUUGAUUUUAUUUGAUCAUGGGACUGGGCAUCCCGGUUACCAGCCAUUUUCUCGUGAAUGAUGAGUGGAGUCCACUCAUCUUGAGAAUAACCCACCUAGCAUGGAAGAUAUAGACAACCCUAGUUGCUACAUGAGCGAUUUCAGCAUACAAAACAGAAUUUCAUUUGAAGGUUUAGAGUUUGGCACAUGCAAAUUUACUUGGAACGACAGGUAAAUACAACAUAUAGGUAGGUAUGGUGGACUCAUAUGGAAUAACUUUGGGGUUUAUGGAAGUGGAUGUACAAGCAGUAUUCCCGCUUAGUAGAAAUGAAGGCUAGAAAGAGACUGGGAAGCGACCAACUAGAGCGCGACAACAGUCAAAAACAUGCGUUAAGAUUAACCAACAAUGAGUGCAAGCAUGAGUAGGAUAUAAAUCACCAUGAACACAAAUAUCAUGGAGGCUAUGUUGAUUUUGUUUCAACUACACGCGUGAACAUGUGCCAAGUCAAGCCACUCGAAUCAUUCAAAGGAGGAUACCAUCCUAUCAUACUACAUCACAACCAUUUUUAAAAGCAUGUUGGCACACAUGGUAAACCAUUAUAAACUCCUAGCUAAUUAAGCUUGCCAUGAGUAACUAUAAUCUCUAAUUUUCAUUGCAAACAUGUUUCAUUCAUAAUAGGCUGACUCAGGAACGAUGAACUAAUCAUAUUUACAAAAACAAGAUAGGUCGAGUCCAUACAAGUUUUUCCUCAUCUCGAUCAUUUCAUCAUAUAUCGUCAUUAUUGCCUUGCACUUGCACGGCCGAACAGUGUGAAUAAUAUUAAUAGUGCAUGUGCAUUGGACUAAGCUAGAAUCUACAAACAUUUAUUCAAAAGAGAAGACAAGGUAAUGGGCUCUUUGUUAGAUCAACAAUAAUGCAUAUGAGAGCCACUCAUCAUUUUCAUCGUGAUCUUCUCCUCUUGACCCCCAAAGAAAAGAAAAUAAUUUAAAAGAAACACACUGAAAUGUUUUUGGAGUUUUUGUUUUUCUGAAGGAAGUAAAACAAGAAUGAGAAAAACUAUUUACAUGGGAAAGCUCCCAACAAGCAAAAGAAGAACGAGAAAUAUUUUUGGGUUUUCUUUAAUAGUACUACUACAUAAACAUGGAAAGUAAACUAAAGUACAACUAAAUUUUUUGGUUUUUCUCAAAGUUUUUCAAACACAUAAGAAGAAAGCGAGCAAAAGAAAAUAAACUAGCAUGGAUAAUACAAUGAAAAAGUAUGAACACCGACAACUAGAAAUGAGUGUGUGAACAUGAAUGUAAUGUCGGUGAGAAAUACGUACUCCCCCAAGCUUAGGCUUUUGGCCUAAAUUGGUCUAAGGCCACCACUGGCCCGGAUGAUAUCUGAAAUCAUAGUUGGGGUUGUACUGUGCUGCAACAGCUACCGCCUGGCGAGCUGCUUCCUGGAGGCGAGCGGCCUCCACUCUUCUCUCAUACUCAUUUGCCUCCUCUCUAGUUAUAAAAUACCUCCCUUUUGCCUAAAAGUUAAAGAAGGUAGGAGGAGGAAGGAUAAUAUGGAUAGCACGCCGUCUGUCAAAGACUAGUCGGUACUGGAGGGACUGUUCGUUCCUCUAAAGAAAUUGGUAGCGUACCAUAGCAUUAUAAUCCAGAAAAGCAGGUGGCAACUCAAUGUCAUUUCCCCUUAUGGGUACACCAAGAUAAUUAGCUAAACGAGUUGCAUAAAUCCCACCAAAUAAAUCUCCAUCUUUGCAUUAAGAUGUAACCUCCUUGCAAUAAUAGCCCCCAAGUUAUAUCGCUUAUCACCUAACACCGCACACUUGAAGACACUAAGAUCUAGAAUGCAAAGGUGGCUGUGAUCAUGUUUACCAUUAAUGCAUCUACCUAUAAAGAGAGCAAAAUAAUGUAUGGCAGGAAAAUGAAUGCUCCCUAUGGUAGCUUGUGUGAUAUUUCUAGUUUCUCCCACAGUGAUGCUAGCAAGGAAACCGUUAUAUUCAGAUUUCUGAGGCUCACUAUGAAUGCCCCACUGUGGGAUUUUGCAUGCAAUAUUAAAAUCUUCAAGGUCCAUGGUAUAUGAUUCAUCAUAAAGAUCAAACGAAAUAGUAUGGGUAUUGCGCUUAGAUGAAAAUUCAAACCUCCGCACAAAGGAAUCGGUGAGGUAAUAGUAUUGUUGGCACUUAUGUGAUACGAAGUCCUCAAGAUCAGCAUUACGUACAUACGCAUCAAAUUCAUCCUUGAAGCCUCCAAGAACCAUAAAUUCAUCCGACGGUCAUUCACAAGGCCGCACUUGAGCUUCCCUUGGUGGUUAAAGGUCCGACUCACGUAUUGCGAGCCUCCGUGCUUGCUUCCUCGAAGAACUACCUUGGUACAUUUUCCUAGACAUUUUUCUUCCUCUGAAAAUUUCUGAAUUUUUUAGUGACUCAAAAUAAAAGUGAACCAAACUCAACAAAAUUGCUAGCAACUACUCCUACAAGUGUCUAGAAACUAUAUCAUGCAUCAAAACUACUUUGGACCAUAUAAAUUUGACAUGCAAGCUCAAGAACAGGGUCACCACAGCAGCAAAAAUUCGCAAUAAAUAAAGCACUAGAACAAAAACUAAUUGGACCAUUGGAGGAGUCGCAUACCAAAGAACAACCCCCCAAAGCAGUUUCGUAAGUGGAGCUUUGCACAAGGAGAUCGAAAAUAGCAGCAAAACAAGCAAGAACACGGGUUUGAGCUACGUGAUCAUUUUUUCUGGAGGAAGACGAAGUGGGUGGGUGCUGGAAUAAGUGGAGGGACCCAUGUGAGGCCCACAAGAUAGGGGGCGCAUCCAGGGGGCAGGGCGCGCCCUCCACCCUUGUGGCCCACUGGUGAAGCCCCCUGGUGUGUUCUCAGUGCUAGAAAUUCUCAAAUAUUCUAUAAAAAAUCAUACUAAAUUUUCACGGCAUUUGGAGAACUUUUAUUUUCAGGAUAUAUUUUAUUUCACGGAUAAUUCAUAAAACAGAUAGAAAAUAUAUUUCUACUUUAUUUAAUCUAAAUAACAGAAAGUAAAAGGUGGGUACGGAAAGUUGUGCCUUCUAUAUUCAUCCAUCUCAUGCUCAUCAAAAGGAGUCCAUUAACAAGGUUGAUCAAGUCUUAUUAACAAACUUCUUCCGAAUAACAUGAAACCGAAGAAUUUUUUGAAUAAUACUAACUUACCUCAACGGGGAUAUGCAUGUCCCCAACAAUAGGAAUAUCAUAUUUCUUUUUGACAGUAGGAAGAGGGAAUUUAAAACCUCCAAUAGCAAUAGUUGAAUUAUUUCCAAUAGAAUUGAUACUAUGAACUUGAGGUUGUUUCUUUGGAAAGUGUACCGUAUGCUCAUUACCAUUAACAUGAAAAGUGACAUUGCUUUUGUUGCAAUCAAUAACAGCCCCUGCAGUAUUUAAAAAGGGUCUACCAAGGAUGAUCGACAUACUGUCUUCCUCAGGAAUAUCAAGAAUAACAAAGUCCAUUAAGAUAGUAACAUUUGCAACCACAACAUGCACAUCCUCGCAAAUACCAAUUGGUAUAGUGGUUGAUUUAUCAGCCAUUUGCAAAGAGAUUUCAGUAAGUGUCAACUUAUUCAAAUCAAGUCUACGAUAUAAAGAUAAAGGCAUAACACUAACACCGGCUCCUAGAUCACAUAAAGCAGUUUGAACAUAGUUUCUUUUAAUGGAGCAUGGUAUAGUUGGUACCCCUGGAUCUCCUAGUUUCUUUGAUAUUCCACCCUUAAAAGUGUAAUUAGCAAGCAUGGUGGAAAUUUCAUCUUCCGGUAUCUUUCUUUUAUUAGUGAAAAUAUCUUUCAUAUACUUAGCAUAAGGAGGCAUUUUAAGCAUAUCAGUAAAACGCAUAUGCAAAAAAGAUAGGUCUAAUCAUUUCAGCAAAGCGCUCAAAAUCCUUACCAUCCUUUUUCCUUGAUGGCUUAGAGGAAAAGUCAUGGGUUUCUGAACCCAUGGUUCUCUUUCUUUACCGUGCUUCCUAGCAACACAGUCUCUCUUGUCAUAUCGUUGAUUCUUUGAUUGUGGGUUAUCAAUAUCAACAGCAGGUUCAAUCUCUACAUCAUUAUCAUUACUAGGUUGAGCAUCAACAUGCACAUCAUCAUUAAAAUUAUCACUAGGUUCAUGUUCAUCACCAGAUUGUGUCUCAGCAUCAGAAAUAGAAAUAUCAUUGGGAUUCUCAGGUGUGUCAAUAACAGGUUCACUAGAAGCAUGCAACGUCCUAUCGGUGUUCUUUUUAUUUUUAUUACUAGGACUAGGUGCAUCAGUAUUAAUUCUGUGAGAAUCUUUCUCAAUUCUCUUAGGAUGGCCCUCAGGAUACUAAGGUUCUUGAGUCAUUUUACCACCUCUAGAAAUAACCCUAAUAGCAUUAUCUCCGUUCUUAUUAUUUAACUCAUUGAGCAAAUCAUAUUGUGCCUUAAGUACUUGUUCUACUUGAGUUGUAACCAUGGAAGCAUGUUUACUAAUAAGCUUAAGAUCAUUUUUAACUCUAGACAUAUAAUCACUCAAGUGUUCAACCAUAUAAGCAUUACAUUUCAAUUGUCUACUAACAUAAGCAUUGAAAUUUUCUUGUUUAACAAUAAAAUUAUCAAACUCAUCCAAGCACUGACUAGCAGACUUAUUAUGAGGAGUAUCACCUUCAUCAAAUCUAUAGAGAGAAUUUACCUCUACAACCUGUGUCGGGUUAUCAAGACCAUGUAUUUCUUCAAUAGGCAGUAAAUUCUUAACAUCUUCAUCUUUAAUACCUUUUUCUUUCAUAGAUUUCUUUGCUUCUUGCAUAUCUUCAGGACUGACAAAUAGAAUACCUCUUUUCUUUGGAGUUGGCUUAGGAGUUGGUUCAGGAAGUGUCCAAUCAUUAUCAGUACUCAAUAUAUUAUUCAGUAACAAUUCAACUUGCUCUACAGUUUGUUCCCUAAAAACACAACCAAUACAACUAUCUAGGUGGUCUCUGGAAGCAUCGGUUAGUCCAUUAAAAAAGAUAUCAAGUAUUUCAUUUUUCUUGAGAGGAUGAUCAGGCAAAGCUUUAAGUAAUUGGAGAAGCCUCCCCCAAGCUUGUGGGAGAUCCUCUUCUUCAAUUUGCACAAAGUUAAAUAUUUCUUGUAAGGCAGCUUGUUUCUUAUGAGCAGGAAAAUGUUUUGCCGAGAAGUAGUAAAUCAUAUCCUGGGGACUACGCACACAACCAGGAGCAAGAGAAUUAAACCAUAUCUUAGCAUCACCCUUUAAUGAGAAAGGAAACAACUUAAGAAUAUAGCAAUAGCGAAUUUUUCCAUCAUGAGCAAAUAAGGUGGCUAUAUCAUUCAGUUAUGAAGAUGUGCCACAACAGUUUCAGAUUCAUAACCAUGGAAAGGAUCAGAUUCAACCAAAGUAAUUAACUCAGGAUCGACAGAGAUUCAUAAUCCUUAUCAGUAACACGGAUAGGUGAAGUAGAAAACUUAGGGUCAUAUUGCAUUCUAGCAUUCAAAGACUUUUCUUUCAGCUUAGCUAACAGUUUCUUAAGAUCAUCUCCAUUGCAAGCAAGAAAGUCUCUAGCAGUUUCUUCAUCCACAAUAUAACCCUCAGGUACAACAGGCAAUUCAUAUGUAGGGGGAGAAUCAUAAUCUUCGGUUUCAAUAAUAUCAUUAGUUUCAGUAAUUUCAUUCUCUCUAACCCUAGCAAGUUGUUCAUCAAGAAAUUCACCUACUGGCACAGUAUUAUCAAGAAAAGAAGUAGUAUCAUCAUAAGCAUCAUGCAUAGCAGAAGUGGCAUCAUCAAUAAUAUGCGACAUAUCAGAAUCAAUAGCAGGUGUAGGUGUCAUAAGUUUACUCAAAACAGAAGGUGAAUCAACUGGAGAGCAAGAUGGAAGUUUCUUACCUCCCCUCGUAGUUGGGGGAAAAAUCUUGGUUCUUUGAUCUUUCAAAUUUCUCAUAGUGAUCAAUAGAUAUAAAUCCCAAGUGACUCAGAGAAGAGAGCUAUGCUCCCUAACAACGGCGCCAGAAAAAGGUCUUGAUAACCCACAAGUAUAGGGGAUCGCAACAGUUUUCGAGGGUAGAGUAUUCAACCCAAAUUUAUUGAUUCGACAAAAGGGGAGCCAAAGAAUAUUCUCAAAUAUUAGCAGCUGAGUUUUCAAUUCAACCACACCUGGAAGACUUAAUAUCUGCAACAAAGUAGUAUGGAAGUAACGGUAACGUGGCAAAAGUAACAGUAGCAGUUUUGUAGCAAUCGUAACAGUGGCAACGGAAAAGUAAGUAAGCAAAGAUCAAUAUGUGAAAAGCUCGUAGGAAAUGGAUCAAUGAUGGAUAAUUAUGUGGGAUGACAUUCAUCAUGCAACAGUUAUAACAUAGGGUGACACAAAACUAGCUCAAAUUCAUCAAUAAUGUAGGCAUGUAUUCCGAAUAUAGUCAUACGUGCUUAUGGAAAAGAAUUUGAAUGACAUCUUUUGUCCUACCCUCUCGUGGCAGUGGGUCCUACUGGAAACUAAGGGAUAUUAAGGUCUCCUUUUAAUAGAGUACCAGACCAAAGCAUUAGCACUUAGUGAAUACAUGAACUCCUCAAACUACGGUCAUCACCGGGAAGUGUCCCGACUAUUGUCACUCCGGGGUUGUCGGAUCAUAACACGUAGUAGGUGACUAUAACUUGCAAGAUAGGAUCAAGAACUCACAUAUAUUCAUGAAAACAUAAUAGGUUCAGAUCAGAAAUCAUGGCACUUGGGCUCUAGUGGCAAGCAUUAAGCAUAGCAAAGUCAUAGCAACAUCAACCUUAGAACAUAGUAGAUACUAGAGAUCAAACCCUAACAAAACUAACUCGAUUACAUGGUAAAUCUCAUCCAACCCAUCAUCGUCCAGCAAGCCUACGAUGAAAUUACUCACGCACGAUUGUGAGCAUCAUGAAAUUGGUGAUGGAGGAUGGUUGAUGAUGACAAUGGUGAUGAUUUCCCCUCUCCGAAACCCAAAACGGAUUCCAGUUCUGCUCUCCCGGAGAAGAACAGGAGGCGGCGGUGGCUCCGUAUCGUCAAACGCAAUGAAUCCUUCUCUUUAAUUUUUUUCCGGAACAUGAAUAUACGGAGUUGGAGUUGUGGUCGGCGGAGGUCUGUGGGACCCACAAGACCAGAGGGUGCGCCCUCCACCCUUGUGGACAGGGUGUGGGUCCCCUCUGGUUGAUUCUUUCGCUAAUAUUAUUUAUUUAUUUCAAAAAUAAUCUCCGUGAAGUUUCAGUUCAUUCCGAGAAAUUUUAUUUCUGCACAAACACCAUGGCAAUUCUGCUGAAAACAACGUCAGUCCGGGUUAGUUCCAUUCAAAUCAUGCAAAUUAGAGUCCAAAACAAGGGAAAAAGAGUUUGAAAAAAUUGAUACGUUGGAGACGUACCAGGGGUUCAACCAUCUCCUUAAUGAACUCACAUAAACCAAUGGCAUGAGAUCAUAUUUAACAACAAUCAUUAGUAUCACUAACCACAUUGCCAUCACAUCAAAAUACAAUUUAGAGAUAAAUGCACUUUAUCUCCCUCUUUUUGCGGUAUUGAUGACAAUAGGGUUAGAGCAUGGAAGAGAGUAUAAAUGAUGAAUGAAGCCAUGCAACUCUACAGAUAUAAGGACCCCUCCCCCAUGAUGUUUGCAUAUGCCAUGCAAUGCCUUUAUCCUCUAACGAUGAAUGAAGCCAUGAAACUCUACCGCUGGUGUGCGUGGAUUUUUCAUCCUAUUGUCCAUUGCUAGUACCUGCGUCCUCGUCAAUGGCGUCCCUGACCCUCCAAUUUGGCACUACAGAGGGCUUCGUGAGGGUGACCUAUUGGCAUUCAUAUUCUUCGUGUUCAUCAUUAACAUCCUGAACUCGCUCCUUUAACGGUCCAUUUCCUUGGGGAUCCUCCAGUGGCUCACCCCUCGCCACAUGGCCUCUAGUGUCUCUCUCUACGCUGAUAACAUGGCGAUAUUUUGCCACCCGAACCCUCAAAACUUGAGUGCCAUUCAUCAGCUUUUCCAGAUCUUUGGGAUUGCCUCGGGUCUAGCGACGAACCUAUCCAAGAGUUCGACCACCCCCAUCCGUUGCUGCCUCAAUGACAUUGACGCCAUCCGUGAUCUGGUGCCAUGCCCGAGCACCGAGUUCCCCAUCAAGACCUCAUCCUCCUGUCUUGAUGCGUAAGCCGCCCUCGACCGCUCGACAACCGCCGCUAGACUAACUCAAGAAGGAGCUCCCCACUUGGAAGGCAAGCCUCUUGAAAAAGAUUAGGCAUCUACUACUUUUUUGACAUGUGUUUAGUGUCAUCCUAGUGCACACCUUGAUGGCCAUCUCCAUGGAUGCGACUACCCUCAAGCUUGCUUAUCAUAUCUACUGCGGCUUCCUCUGGUUCGGGUGCAAGGAUACCAACGUAGGUUACUGCUUCAUGAAUUAGCAAUGUGUGUACCAGCCGCUCCAUAUCAGAGGGCUCGACAUCCAUGACUUCCGUCGUAUGGGCAUCACACUCCAUGCCCAGUGGUUUUGGCUCUAUAAGACCGACGCAUCCCGCCCAUGGCGCCAUCUUCCACGUGUGAACCUCCUGGCAUGUUGGUAACGGGGAAUCAUGCCUUUUUAGAGGAUCGCGGGCUGUCUGGCUAAUCGGUCAAUAAGAUUGCCCCGCUCUCCUCGAGCUGGUGUUUGUCGCCGGAGAUGCCACAUCGUCGUUGAGGGGCUUCAUCAGCGAGCUUGGACUCGCGACAUCCAUUACGCUCCUGGACUUGUUGCACCUGUCAAACACAUGGAGCUUUGGCAUCGGUUGCAUCAACUUAAGCUCACGACAAAGUCGAAUCACCCUUCUUGGAAUAUUUGUGGCAGCGCUGCCUACACGACACGCUCCUGCUACUAUGCAUUGUUCUUUGGGGCCACUAGCCAUUACUCAUGGUAGCUAAAUUGUCGCACUUGGGAUGUCCUGUGAUCGAAGUUCUUCAUCUCGUUGGCACUACAAGAUCGUUGAUUUAUGGUUGACUGCUUACUUUUUCGUGGCCUCCCGCACGCUCCACGCCGCGUUCUGUGCAACUAGAACCCUGUGACGAUGAACCACCUACUCGUGGACUACCCCUUCACCUGUUAGGUGUGGCCCACGUGCUUGCCUGGUGCAGAUCGAUCUCUCACCGCCCGACGUAACUGUUGGUUUUCUGGAUUGGUGGGCAAUGUCUUACAACGUUUCCCCGUCCGGACAUCGUAAGGUCCUCCCCACCAUGAUCAUACUCUCUGCAUGGUGAAUUUCGAUGCUCGCAAUGCAUGUGUCUUCACCUUUGAGUUAUCGUCUGGCCUUCCUGUGACUCAAACUAUUCGAUCCGCGUCUUCACCUGUUGUCGUCUGCCCCUCGUGUGUCUGCCCCUCGUGUGACGCAGACUACACGUGGCAAGACUAGUUAGUGGGCGCUGACCGAGGCAACGUCCUGGACUACAAUCUUCUUAAUCUUCUCCUAUCAAUAAAAAGAUGCACACAUCUGUUGUGUAUUCGUGGAAAAAGAUCGCACGGGGAGAAUAAUUAUAAGUAUACAUAUUCCUGUUCCAAUGGUACCGAUACCAUGCACAUCUCCCAAACAAGACAAAGGUAUAAAAAAGCAAUGUAAACAAAAAACCCAAUUUCCAAAUCAAUCGCAUAUACACAGCUUAGUUCAAAUCCGUAUACACCAAGAGUACUCUCUGCGUCCCUCCUCGAACACACCGGGGCUCCCGCGUCUCAUCGCCGCCGUCCGUGACUCCUUGUGCACUACUGAUAUCUUCCAUCCAACGGCUAUGAGUAUCUCCUGCCGAUAGAUUCCGGCCGGCGGCUCGCCCGAGCUACCCCGAUCGAUUUCAUCCCAGCGCCAAACCACACGUACAGCCACGGAGCCGGAUUCUCAGAACGGCUUGCCCCAGUACAUGAGGAUGUCCUGGAGGAGCGGGUCGCCGGCGGGGAGCCCGGCCGCCGGGUCGAGCAUCAAGCCGGCCGGGUUGACGCCCGGGGUGGCUGUGGCGAACGUGCGCUCCCACUCGGAGAUCUUGGGCUGGCUCUGCACCUCCGGCCGCUCGCACGACGCCGUCAGCACGUGUUCCGAGCAGCUCGAGUCCGCGUGCGCCCGCGGCAUCGAGUCCGACGGCCUCACCUCGUAGUACGCCGCCAGGUCCGAGAACGGCUGCGGCGCGUAUGGCCGCAGCAGGGCCAGUUUCUGCUCCGGCGGCGAGCCGACGGCCGCGUGCCCGGGGCUCGCGCUCGCGGUCCGGUCACCGGCGCUCGGCCUCUCCGAGGCGCCUUUCUUGUUGUAGAUCCGGCAAAGCACCCAGUCAUCCAACUGCAACGACCACAAAAAGAUCGAUCGACGUACAUGAUCAGAACAGAAAUCAUACCUCUAAUAUUAACAUUCCAACAUGAAUCCAUCAUCAUAAACUGAUUAGUCACGAACGAAUUUUAAUCCAUAUGAUCGGAAGGUGCUAUUUGAUUGGAUAUUUU
rnacentral:lncRNA from 1 species